AUUACUGGUUAGGGUGGGUAAGACUGUCUUAUAGGUGACAUCUGGGUGAGUAGGGAGCGGGGGGAAGCUAUCUUUCUUGGGUCUUUUGUGCACUUUUUCCUCCGCCCUAAUCCUUUUUCCCUCAGGCACCUGUUUUUCCCCCUUUUCC